AUUUGAAGCUCUGCACCAUGGAGAGGACACUCUCGAACCUGCAGCCACAGAAUACAGACAGACGGGCCUGGCAGCCAUCAGCAGCCAAUUCAGACCCAAGAAACCAGAUGAGAUGACUCACCUGCAUUGAUGGAUUCAUUGCUAGGUAACAAAUGGAAACUGUAAAUUCGGUGGCUCUCCAAGGCUGAUGCCAAUGGAUAACAAGGCAAUUUUUCUUCUUGAUGGGUACAGCAAUCCAUGUUUUCAAUGCCCAUGAUUGUACAGUUAUGUUAAACACAAAUAAAAAGGCCUGGGAUCAGUUUGAGGUCAGUGAUAAGGUAACCUAUCCACCCCUGUGUUUGGCUCAUUGACACCAGCCGAUAUAGAACAGGGGUGAGUGAGGAUUUUUCGGGAAAUGGAACUUUCAUUUUUCCACUCCGUGUUUUAUUAUUAAUGACUGAUGAUGAAGACAUAGAUUUUUGAAUGUCUACAAAUGAUAUUAUAUACUGUAUAAAGCAGAAAGUUACUCCUUAACAUGUUCCAUUUUAUUUAAUGUUAUGGUUCAGCUCAUGCCUUACAGCCAAAGCCUGUGAAAUAUAUACUGCAAAUGUGUUAAACGUAAUUGAGACAUGUCAUUGAAAAGCGCAGCUGUUUCAUUAACUCUGAGCUGCAGUUUGGCUUUGUGUAAGCAUGUUUCAUGACAAAGCCUCUGUUCUCAUUGGACCUUGUAUUGCUUCCUCUUUUUUAACGCUGACAGGAUUUCAGGUUCCUGUGUGAGCAUGGAGGUCCUUACACUGAGUGUAUUUGACAAGCUGAGCUCGACACUCAACAUGACAGGAGUGUCAGUUUGUCAAAUACCCCAAGUGUGAGGUCACUUGUCAUCGAGGUCCCCGUCCGUGACCCCACUCCUGAAGACCAGAAGGUGUCUGCUGGCGACUCUGGUCACGUAACACAUAUCGAAGGUUGGAAAUAAAAGGUCACAUAUUGGUAUUCUGCUACAGCUGCAAUGGCACAGUGUUCACAUGCUAUUGCAGAUUUUGUUUUUAUUUCGGAUGAGAAGGCAGGCUAUUUCAAAUGAACUUCAAUAUCCAUUAUUAAAUAAUACAUUAAUUCAUGAUACAUUUUUCAUCAUUAAUCAUAACAGAAUUAUUUUAAAUAGUAAAAAAAAAGCUUAUGACCCCCAUGGAGUGACUUCCAGGACAGUAUAAAUCACAGUGCAAAUAGCAAUAUAAAUUGCAAAUUAGCAAGUAGCAUGCAACGAUCUUGCUGGUGGCUUCUAGGUGAAAAAAUGAGAUUGCAUUAGGGCAAUCAUUAAGAGCAAUUCCGUCAUGAAUCAUGUUAAUAACUAUGUGUGCUUGGCUUUCAAUACAGCCGUGUUUCAGGCUUGAGUUCCUCUGGCAGAUUGGGGUGGCAGGUGCAGUCUAGAGACAUAGGUGGGUGAUUGAUGCGGGUGAGUUUAUUUUGGCUUGGAUGCUUCAGACUGCAUACAUUUAGGAAAGUGAGGUUUUUGGUUUUCACUUAAAUUUAAUGGAUGUAAAAGCCUGCGGUGGAAAAAGAUGUGAAGAUAGAGCCAACAGUCCUCUUGUGAAGACACUAUGUUAUAUUAUUAUCUGAUCUGUACAGAGGAAGAACAUGACAGGGGAGCCUAGUCGUAGGAAAUAGCGCCAUGCUAGAGUUUUUUUUUUGCAGUGUAUGCUAAUGACGGCUACCAGGAUACACACAGAGGAUGUGGCCGAUCUUGUGAUCAGAAGGCUAUAUAAGGAGAUUGUGUCUUCAGGCAGAGGCGAAACAACAUUGCUCUCUUAAAUUCAAAGCUCAUUUAUGCAGCGCAUUAGGCAGCUGUACACUGGAAAGCCGUUAAAUUUUGCUUUCAGCACUUUGGCCUGGUGCAAUGACUCACAGGCUGCAGUGCACUGGAUUGAUGGCAGUAUCUGAAACUGCUAGCGUGUGGUGUCUCAUUGCAUCUCAAUUGCCGGUCAAAAACAUCUAUCCCCCUCAAAUUAGCUUCCAUGAACUCCAAGUACUGCACUACUUUAAGUAAUCUGUACAUUGCGAGAGCUCUGCCUUGUGUUAACCACAAGCAUCACAAAGAAUUAGAGAUACACAAAUAUCUUCAUUAAAAGAACCUGAAAAUGACCUUUAAUUUGUUUUUGUUUUUUUCACUCUAAUCAAAAACAACAGUUUAAAGUCAAUUCCACAAAGCACCGUGGUCAUCUAGUUCUUUCAGUGGCCUACCUAAUGCCUUUCCGAUUAGAAUAAGGAUCUCAAAUUCUGGGAAACCACAGCAAUGCUGGCUUAAGUAUUUAAAUUAAGUCACUGAUCAGUUAUAGGGGCACUUCACCCAAAAAUGAAAUUAAGGUAUGUUUCCACUUACCUAGAGUAGUAUCUCUCCAUCCAGAUAGUUAUGUUAAAAUAUGAUAGGGUUUUGUAGACAUUUGCUGUAGCUCACUGAGUUAAAAUGGACCUUAUGGGCACUUCAUCAUGUGGCUUCAAAGGGGCAAAAAAUAACCAAAUUAGAGUCCCGUGGAGGUGCUGACGUACUUGGUGGAAUGCAACCAUGAGUAGUUUCUGUGAUCACAACUUAGUUCUACUGAAUAUAUUAGGCCUGUUAGCCAUGAAUUUACCAUGAAUUUUGAAGCUGUUAAUUAAGUUAAUUGCUGACAAAUUACUAUAUUGAAGCUACAAAAGUUGCAUUCAGCCCUGUUAUAUCACUACCUCUCAAGUUUCAUAUAUUAGUCCACCUUUCGUGGAAGAAAGCUAGUUCACUAGAACCAUCUGGAAAUUAAGCACAUGUUCAUGUGAAACCGCAAGACUAUAUAUGGAAAGUUACUGUCUAAUUUUAUGAUUGCAACUGCUAAUCUCUGGUCAUUUGAAGCCGCAGGACAAAGAACCAAGCAAACUCAUCACGUUUCAGAUGAACUAUCUGGAUGAACAGAUACUACUCAGGCUAAGUGGAAACAUACUUUAAUAAAAUAAAAUAAUAAUUUUAAUGAAAGGCAAUAAAUUGACAGCUAAAGCAAUAAAUUGACAAUAAAUUGAAAGAGAAGCACAUAAAUCUACAGAAACCCUCCAGGAGUGUAGUUUGAGAUCAAUGCUUUUGAAUGAUGAGAUCAUAGCACAAGAUCACCCUACACUCUGUCAACCAUUUUCUUUUCUUCCAGAUGUGGAGCCGUGUUUUGUCUGCUGCCCAAAGGAUUGUAUUAUGUAUUCUGAUCAAGCUGAUUAGAAGAAGGCUGAAAAAUUGGUCAGUACUGUGCUGUAAUUAACUGUUCCUGUCAUAUCAGGCCUUCUCUGCCCAGAUAUGUGUGUGUAUGUGAGUGUGCAUGUGAGAGAGAGAGAGAGAGAGAGAGAGAGAGAGAGAGAGAGCUGUCUUUGACAUUUCCUUGCCAACCUGUUUCCUAGACCUGCAGGUGUUCCACCAGUAAUCCUGUAAGUGGCCUUCAUUUAGGCCUUCAUUCAUUUGGGCUGUUUGUUGAUCUUGUUCCUCUGCUGGGGAGCUGGGGAAGGUCACAGUGCUUUUUCUGUUUUUGGUUUUCAUUUUAUUUUUGCUGAGAACAGUUCAUAUCUGGUUGUCAUGCAGUUAAACCACACUUAUUUUCUACCAGUAUAAAAAGACAUACGCACCUUUCCCUCUCACUCUAGAGAAUAGUACUACUUGUGUCCUGUUCAAAUGUAAACAUUUACAGUGGAGUGUAAGUUUACUGUGCCGACCUUAUUCUCUGCUAGUUUAAAGUAAACAUGAAACCACUAACUAAGGUAUUUACAGAAUGCAUUACUGGCCUGUCCUCGUGUUUGCUUAAAUAAAUCUGUUCAACCCUGA